UUAUAUAUCUAAGGAACCCAUCAAAUUAACUCAAUAAUAAUAAAACCAAUUGACAAACACUCACUGGGUGAAGACUGAAGAGGGGUAUUUUAGACCAAGAGCCUAAUUUAUUUUUCUAUAUUUGUCAAUUAUUAUUGUUUACUCUGUAGCCAACAAGAGAAGCUUUAUUGUCAAGCUGUGCACGUGUGUGCGCACAUUCACUUGCUGAAUCGGUUUUCGUGCGCACCCCUCGUGCGUAAGAUAGCGACAUACCCUAUUUCUUUUCUUUUCUUUUUCUUUUUCUUUUUUUUUUUAAUAAAAAAAUUGGUGUUCUCCUCUCAAAUUAAAUUAAUAAUAUAUUGUGAUCGGGCGGUGGUCCUUUCUAAGCAAUAAUAAUCAAUCAAUUAUCAAAAUUUUAUCUAUAUGCUUCCUUUUUAACGCUAUUGAUAACGACAUCACAACCUCUUCCCCUUUUGGCCUUAUUACUCUUUUUACUUUUUUAUCAAUAAAAAAAAGGCCCUUUCCGCUAACUUCCUUUUUAAAGUCUCUAAUCUUUUUCAUCUUUUCUUCGUUGUUCUUACCUUUUAACCUUUUCUGUACCUUCCCAAUGCCCUAAUUCUAUAGGGAAAAAAAUUAAAAAAGAAAAAUCGCUUAAUUACAUUUUAAAAAGGCCAUAAAUUAAUUAGAAUAGAUUGCACUGUUUGAGCAAUAAAAUAUUGUUAGUUUAUCGAUGAUAGAGAUACCGAAACACAAAAAAAUUACUCAUAUUUAUAUUAAUUUUGUUGGUCAUAAGUUAUAAUAAAUAUAAGUUAGAGAUCGCCUUCAUUAAAUAUAAAUUUUCUUAUUAAAAGUUUUCACAUCACUGAAUUGUGAUAUAACAAUUUAAAAUAAAAAUAUAUAUAAAAAAAACUUUUGGGUUAUGAUAUCAUGUCAUUAAAAUUAUUGCAUUGACAACCUUUACCUUUACCUUAAUUUCAUAAUUACUUUUCACUAAUUCGGUGAUGAUGUUGCAACAAACUUACUAGGUUUCUUUCUAAAAUUCUAAUCAACUUUUCUUAACUUUUAAUUAACCUCUUUCCCAUGCAAAUGUUUUUUUUUCCCAUUAUGCAUAACUUUAUACAUUAUCUUUUCAUAACUUUUACAAGAUUAUAAAACAAAAAAGGUUCUUCAAACAUAAUGAUAACGUUUUUUUAGAUCCACUCGUGUAACCACAAAAAAGACUAAUAAUGUUAAAAAAAAAUGAUAAUAAUAGCUAUAAAAAAUAAAUAAAAAACUUUUGAAGAAGAAGCGAAUAAAGGUAGCUUUUCUUAAGCCACUUUUAUUAUUGGGUCCACCAAGAGGUGCACCCACUGGAUAUUUUCUCAAAAACUGGCCUCUUAUGUGGUGGCUUUGUGUCUUUUUGGCCCUACACGGCAAAAGCUUCCCCGGCACACCACAUGUUCAACUUAUCAAGUAGGUGAGACUUGAUUUAUUACUUAUAAUUUUCUUGUAUGCAAAUUUUAUUUUUUUAAUUUCAAUUCAGCUAUUAUUUAGUUAUAUAAUAGGAUAUUAUUAGAGUAAUUACUCGACCUGUUCGUUUUCUACGUCUUAAAAUGUUAAUUUGAAAUUAGACAAUAUUAUUAUUUAAUUACGAUGAAAAGUCUUCAAUGUUUUUUUUUUUUUUUAUGUUUACUUAUUCAUUGAUUUUUUUUAAUAAGAGUAUGGUUGAAUUUCAUCUAAUUCUCCAUUAAUAAAAGCUCAAACAAGUUCAAGACGUUAAUCUUAAAAAAGUAAUACUCUUACCGCUUGAACUAAGCUUUCGCCCUGAUUUAUUCAUCGAGUCUUAUCAUGUGUGUAUUUAUUAUUACAUGAUUACUUUAUGGAUAACACGUGAUAAGAUUCCAAUAAAUGAAAUAGAAUGUAUUAAAAGUAAUAAAGACUUUUUUUUUUUAACUACAAUCAAUUGCAUGAGUAGAUAUUGUUAAUCAUAUUUAAAGAUUCAUUUAAAAAAACGCAAGGUAUCUGCAUUUGAAAUAUCCCUACAACAUUACAUUCAUGAAUUAAGAACAUAAAACAAUACAUUUUUUUUCCCUAAUUUUCUUUGUGUCUUGUCAUAGCCUCAUAGGUUCAUGCCUGGGUUUGCCCUGAGGUGCAUGUCAUUGACACCAUCUUUAUUUUUUACAUUAGCUUUUGAUGACAUGACAAAUCAUCGUGGGUCAAUUCCUUCAUUAUUAAAAUCCACAUUGAUUGUAAUCCACACAAAAAAUAAAAUAAAAAAAUCAAUCGACAUUGAUUAUUAAUAUUAUUGAUUCAUUAUUCGUGCAUAGAUCAUAAUUGAGAAAGUGCAUUUGGACUUCUUGAGUAAUUUUUCAUAAUAAUUAAUAUCUGCUUUCGUGGUGCUGGUAUGCUUAAUUUUGAAUAAAAAUUCCUCUUCUCAUCAAUGUAAAAUAAAUAAUGGAGGAGAGUUAUCUAGGGAUGGCAGUGAAGCAUAUAUGGAUUGGAUCUAUAUUAUUUUAGAUCUAGAUCCGUAAUAAAAAUUAAUAUCUAUAUCUGCUCCAGAUCCGUCAUGGAUUUAUAUUUUUCACUCCAUAUCUAGAUCCGAAAUAAAAAAUAAAGAUCUAUAUCUGCUCCAAAUCCAAAAAGAAAAAUUAAAAUCCAAAUUUGCUCUAGAUCCAUCAUGAAUUUUAAAUUUCAAUAAUAAGAGAUCAAUCUUUUUUUAGAAAGAAAAUUUAAGACUAAAAUGCAUUGGUAACAAUUAAAUUAUAUAAUUUGUAUAAAAAAUCUAAUAAGUAUUGUAGCUUCUACUUUUACACCAAAAUAAAUAAAUAAGAAAGAUAAUAAAAUAUCGAUCAAAAGUAAUUGCAGGAAUAAGAUCAUUAUAAUAUUAUAAUGUCUCCUUUACCAUCUUGAUAUCCAUUGCACACUAUCAUCAUUCCUAUAUCAUUAAAUAUUAACAUAUAAGUUAAAAAUGAUUUAUUAUAUUCAGUGCUUUAUUAUUUUUAUUAUGAUCAUAUUUAACUAAAUAUAUUAUUAACAUAAUUAUUUCAUAGUUGAUAGCCACCAUUGAUUAGUGAUUAUACAAAUAAAUAAGAUUAUGAGAAAAUGAUAGAAAAACAAACUCAAGUCUAUCGAUUUUCGUAACAAUUAAAUAAUUGAUCCAAGCAUUCAAAUGAAGUGGAAAAGCGAGAGUAGACUAAAGAGGAAUAAAUAGACUAAAUUGUAGAGUGAAAAACUUAAAAAAAUUAGACAGGAUAUCUUAAUUUUAUUUUACACUUGAUAAAAUUUUGUCUUAUUAUCAAUUAAGUACCUUUAAGUUUUAAGAUUCUUAAAUACAUGUUAAUGAAUAAAUUUUAUCAUCAUUUAUAAUUAGAUAAUUAUUAAGAAUUUUUAAAAAUAAAAUUACAUUAAAUGGUGAGUGGAUAUGGAUUUAGAUCUAGAUAUUAAGAUAAAUCCGAAUUUGCUCCAGAUCCGCCUUAGAUCCACACAUCGAUAUCCAAAUCCAAUCCAAAUCUAUUUUAAUCCGACCCAAAUCCGAUCCAAUUGGAUUUGGAUCACAUGGAUCUUGGGUCAGAUCCGAUCCAUUGCCAUCCUUAGAGUUAUCUUCUCAUCCGUUUUCUCUCGAGUUCCUAAAAAUUUUAUAUUGCAUUUGCGUUCAUGUUCUCACAUUAUUACACGGCAACCACUACUACUUUUGGCUUGUAUUUUACUUAUAAUUCAUUUGAGAUUCAUUUUGGUGGCUCAAAAAUAAUUUUUAAAAGUUUAAAACU
rnacentral:lncRNA from 1 species